UGGCGCCCCCUCCUCCGCCCGCCCAGCCGCCACAUGGCAGCUGAGCGGGGGCCUUGGGGUGGCGC
rnacentral:pre_miRNA from 17 species